rnacentral:rRNA from 1 species
CAAUAAGCGGAGGAAAAGAAACCAACAGGGAUUGCCUCAGUAACGGCGAGUGAAGCGGCAAGAGCUCAAAUUUGAAAGCUGGCCCCCCCCGGGGCCCGCAUUGUAAUUUGCAGAGGAUGCUUCGGGAGCGGCCCCCAUCUAAGUGCCCUGGAACGGGCCGUCAUAGAGGGUGAGAAUCCCGUAUGGGAUGGGGUGCCCGCGCCCGUGUGAAGCUCCUUCGACGAGUCGAGUUGUUUGGGAAUGCAGCUCUAAAUGGGUGGUAAAUUUCAUCUAAAGCUAAAUAUUGGCCGGAGACCGAUAGCGCACAAGUAGAGUGAUCGAAAGAUGAAAAGCACUUUGAAAAGAGAGUUAAAAAGCACGUGAAAUUGUUGAAAGGGAAGCGCUUGCGACCAGACUCGCCCACGGGGUUCAGCCGGCACUCGUGCCGGUGUACUUCCCCGCGGGCGGGCCAGCGUCGGUUUGGGCGGCCGGUCAAAGGCCCUCGGAAUGUAACGCCUCUCGGGGCGUCUUAUAGCCGAGGGUGCCAUGCGGCCAGCCCGGACCGAGGAACGCGCUUCGGCUCGGACGCUGGCAUAAUGGUCGUAAGCGACCCGUCUUGAAACACGGACCAAGGAGUCUAACAUCUACGCGAGUGUUCGGGUGUCAAACCCGUGCGCGCAGUGAAAGCGAACGGAGGUGGGAACCCCCCGGGGUGCACCAUCGACCGAUCCUGAUGUCUUCGGAUGGAUUUGAGUAAGAGCGUAGCUGUUGGGACCCGAAAGAUGGUGAACUAUGCCUGAAUAGGGCGAAGCCAGAGGAAACUCUGGUGGAGGCUCGCAGCGGUUCUGACGUGCAAAUCGAUCGUCAAAUUUGGGUAUAGGGGCGAAAGACUAAUCGAACCAUCUAGUAGCUGGUCCUGC